CUACAACUGGAUUUGGUCCCCUUCAACCAGCUGCAGUGGGGCACGCAGUGACGCGAGGUAGCAGGAGGUGAUACGAGGCCCGAGGGCACGGAGGGAACACAGAGAGCCUUGAAAACGAUCAUCCAAGCCGUCAUCGGCGGCGGCGUUGCAACAGGAGCGAUACUCGUGGGCGUCCCGUUAACCGUUUGGUCGCUGGGCUUCACGGCUGCCGGCAUCACCGCGGGCUCC